rnacentral:rRNA from 1 species
GUAGGUGAACCUGCGGAGGGAUCAUUACACAAAUAUGGAGGCGGGCUGGAACCUCUCGGGGUUACAGCCUUGCUGAAUUAUUCACCCUUGUCUUUUGCGUACUUCUCGUUUCCUUGGUGGGUUCGCCCACCACUAGGACAAACAUAAACCUUUUGUAAUUGCAAUCAGCGUCAGUAACAAAUUAAUAAUUACAACUUUCAACAACGGAUCUCUUGGUUCUGACAUCGAUGAAGAACGCAGCGAAAUGCGAUAAGUAGUGUGAAUUGCAGAAUUCAGUGAAUCAUCGAAUCUUUGAACGCACAUUGCGCCCUUUGGUAUUCCAAAGGGCAUGCCUGUUCGAGCGUCAUUUGUACCCUCAAGCUUUGCUUGGUGUUGGGCGUCUUGUCUCUAGCUUUGCUGGAGACUCGCCUUAAAGUAAUUGGCAGCCGGCCUACUGGUUUCGGAGCGCAGCGCAAGUCGCACUCUCUAUCAGCAAAGGUCUAGCAUCCAUUAAGCCUUUUUUUCAACUUUUGACCUCGGAUCAGGUAGGGAUACCCGCUGAACUUA